CCCUGUGUUGUAGCUUGACCGGGGCUAGUUGUCACAUGGGAAUGAGUUAGGCUAGUAGACUGUGACAACUUACCCCAUUAAGUGUGACGUGUUUCUAAAAUGUUAUCUUGAUGUGAUUCAGCCUCCUCUUGGCCUCAUAUAUGUUCACUAGGCUCUGCUUCAGAAAUGAUUUUGACAGAAUCAGUCUAAUAGAUCUGAUUUCAGGAGAUCGACUCGUCUCGUAACGCUCUUAUGUGGACACCCUUAACGAUGAAAGCAGGCCGGGAUCAAAGAAAGCUCAUAAUGGCGUGUGGCAUGAAGCAGUGUGCACUACAAAGCAGUGCACUAAUAAGGGAAGUGGAGAAGAGCUCUUGACGGUGGCAGAUGUGCACGAGAGCCUCUUCACACAAACGCACCUCGCUGCACUGAAUAUUAAUCAGACGCUCGAUGACCAGCAGUUAUUAAAGAGCAUCUCAUCAGAAGAAAUCACGUCAAAUGGGUUUGUAACAUCAUGAGAACAGGUUUCCUUGACAGGAGAUGGUGUUUAUGCAUCCAGAAAAGCCACUCUUGAUCUGGGAUCAUCUAGAGACUGAUGGUGUUGCUUCUUUUGCACGCUAAGAAGUGCUUCUGGCUCUCAGCGCGGCCGCUGCGGAUCCAGGUGUGAACACAGUCUAUGGUUUGGCAGAUUCCCCCUCAGUCGCCCUGUUUGGACCAGAACUCGGAGAGGAAAGACUCAUCAGACGCAGCGUGAAAUCCACAGUAUUCCCAGAGUUUGAAGACUCCGAUGAAGGCUUUGAUGAUUGUUUGCUACGUCUUCAUCAUCAUGUGCAACUCUAUUGCCAUGGGAACUGAUGAUGCAGACGAGAGAAGGCCUCUAAUUGGUUCGGUCGGUUCCAGCAGCUUCUUGGACCACGGCGACUAGUUUUGAAGCUGUCUUGAUGUGAGAUGUGGUUUGGCUGAGAGUUAAACCCAAGAGAACAUUGAGCUGAACUGAGUUUAUAUUCAUUUCAUCCAACAACAGUAAUGACUAAACUUUUGUUGAAAUGUCAUAAACAUUAAAUAUUAAGUAUUAUUUAAAAUUUAGUGUGU